CGCCAGACUCCUACGGGAGGCAGCAGUGGGGGAUAUUGCACAAUGGGGGGAACCCUGAUGCAGCGACGCCGCGUGGGUGAAGGAGCGUUUCGGCGCGUAAAGCCCUCUCGGCAGGGAAGAAGAUGACGGUACCUGACCAAGAAGCCCCGGCUAACUACGUGCCAGCAGCCGCGGUAAUACGUAGGGGGCAAGCGUUAUCCGGAUUUACUGGGUGUAAAGGGGGCGCAGACGGCAAUGCAAGCCAGGAGUGAAAGCCCGGGGCCCAACCCCGGGACUGCUCUUGGAACUGCAUGGCUGGAGUACAGGAGGGGCAGGCGGAAUUCCUAGUGUAGCGGUGAAAUGCGUAGAUAUUCGGAGGAACACCGGUGGCGAAGGCGGCCAACUGGGCUUUAACUGACGCUGAGGCUCGAAAGUGUGGGGAGCAAACAGGAUUAGAUCCCCUAGUA
rnacentral:rRNA from 1 species